AUGAAACUUCAAAGUCGGCUUGUCAUCUGUGCUGGUGGAGACACAUGUGCACGUUGCAAGUCGCAAAUCCCACACACCUGUGCACCUAUGACUCUGAGUACCGCUUUGCGUGGGCCCCUCAAAGGCCCUGGUACUCGAGUACUUUUACACACUCUGAAAAAUAUUAUGAAUACUUAAUUCAAAAUA
rnacentral:misc_RNA from 1 species